GUGGGGUAAUGGCCUACCAAGGCGACGACGGGUAGCCGGCCUGAGAGGGCGACCGGCCACACUGGGACUGAGACACGGCCCAGACUCCUACGGGAGGCAGCAGUGGGGAAUAUUGCACAAUGGGCGCAAGCCUGAUGCAGCGACGCCGCGUGAGGGAUGAAGGCCUUCGGGUUGUAAACCUCUUUCAGCAGGGAAGAAGCUUUCGGGUGACGGUACCUGCAGAAGAAGCGCCGGCUAACUACGUGCCAGCAGCCGCGGUAAUACGUAGGGCGCAAGCGUUGUCCGGAAUUAUUGGGCGUAAAGAGCUCGUAGGCGGUUUGUCGCGUCUGCUGUGAAAACCUCAGGCUCAACCUGGGGCUUGCAGUGGGUACGGGCAGACUAGAGUGCGGUAGGGGUGACUGGAAUUCCUGGUGUAGCGGUGGAAUGCGCAGAUACCAGGAGGAACACCGAUGGCGAAGGCAGGUCACUGGGCCGCAACUGACGCUGAGGAGCGAAAGCAUGGGGAGCGAACAGGAUUAGAUACCCUGGUAGUCCAUGCCGUAAACGUUGGGCACUAGGUGUGGGGCUCAUUCCACGAGUUCCGUGCCGCAGCAAACGCAUUAAGUG
rnacentral:rRNA from 1 species